UGGGGAAUAUUGCACAAUGGAGGAAACUCUGAUGCAGCGACGCCGCGUGAGUGAAGAAGGUCUUCGGAUCGUAAAACUCUGUCCUUGGUGAAGAAAGAAAUGACGGUAGCCAAGGAGGAAGCCCCGGCUAACUACGUGCCAGCAGCCGCGGUAAUACGUAGGGGGCGAGCGUUGUCCGGAUUUACUGGGCGUAAAGGGUGAGUAGGCGGUAAUAUGUGUCAGGUGUAAAAGGCUAAGGCUUAACCAUAGUUAGCAUUUGAAACUGUAUUACUUGAGUGCAGGAGAGGUAAGUGGAAUUCCUAGUGUAGCGGUGAAAUGCGUAGAUAUUAGGAGGAACACCAGUGGCGAAGGCGACUUACUGGACUGUAACUGACGCUGAGUCACGAAAGCGUGGGUAGCAAACAGG
rnacentral:rRNA from 2 species